rnacentral:RNase_MRP_RNA from 1 species
AGCACGGCUUCGCAGCGUGCACACGGGGAGCUUGCUCCCAGAAAAGUUGCGAGGAAAGUCUCCGUGCCUUGGUGCAGAGAGUGCGAGUGGGAGACCACAGGGCUCGUGCCAGACUUCCAGUGGUGAUGCUUCCCGCGGAGCUUUGGUGGCGGGUUCGGGCCCUUCGCAGCAGCGCACACAUGCUGGUUGUGGUCAUGAUGGGAGCGCCAACAGCACGGGGCUCACUCUCC